ensembl:lncRNA
CUUCCUUUCAUAUCAAAAAUUCUUGAAACAGCAGUUGUCAAACAGCUAACAGAUCAUCUGCAGAGGAAUGGCUUAUCUGAAGAGUUUCAGUCAGGUUUCAUAGCUCAUCACAGCACAGAAACAGCUUUAGUGAAGGUUACAAAUGAUUUAAAUUCCCGGUUAUUGUUGACCGAGCACACCGCUCGUUGAGACCUCCACCGGCGGCGGGCGCAGCACCAAGACCAUUUAUCGCACGAAUCCACUUUUAUCGGGAUAAAGAACUCAUUCUGUGGCUGCGAAGAGACCGAGCGUUGGAAUACCAGGGCCACAAGGUGCUCAUCUUUCCGGAUUACACACCGGAGGUGAGGAAGCAACGACGUGAGUUCAGCGAGGUGUUGAAGACAUUGCGGGAGAAAAAAAUGGAACACAGUCUUCGGUAUCCAGCUAAACUUCAUGUGAAAUACAAUGGACAUCUGAAGGUCUUUGCUACAUCGGACAUGGCUGGUGAGGACAUGAGGAGGAAACAGUGGGAGCUGUGUGAGGCUACUAAAGGCAGUGGAUCCCUCAGCAGCUGGAUUACAAAGAGCACAGUCUCACAUCAACACAGCCCUGCCCUCCAGCACUAUCAGCAGCAGGAGCAGCAGCAACCCCUCAACAGCAACAUUGUACCCAUCAGACACUGAAAUAAGCGUGCUCAACUCUUCUUUUUGAUUCUCUCGAUCGAAUUGACAUCUCGGAUUUGGACAACUUUGUUUUCCGGAACUCACCGAGUUCUUCUCCACCAGUGCUCCAGCGAGCAACAGGCAAGAACAUCCGUCUCUCGACCUGCGAGAGGCAGGACCUGCUUUCUAUGCUAGGUCGCCCUGCUUCUUCCGGCCACAGUUCCAUCCCCACCGGCGCUUCUUCUCUCCCGCGACCCUCGGGGAAAAACUUUCGUCUGUCCGCCCGGGAGAGGCAAGAUUUGCUCUCCGCGGUCGGUCCUCGUGCUCCUGCCCAUCCAAGCACCAUCCCGAGCAGCGCUUCUUCUCCGCCAUCGGGCACACGAAAUGCACCACGCCUGUCUUUGAGAUCCAAUCAUGGGCAUCUCACAAGGAGGAACAGGAGGACCGGUUGGACCGCAAGGACAAGGAGCACAAGGCAAAAACGCAGACAAAACCAGCUCGCUUCUAUCGCUCUUCGAGCAGUAUGUCUGGUCGCUGAAUUAGUUCAGCUCAUCAUAUAAAAAGUUUUUUUUUUUUCAUUUUGCUUUUUCAAACAAACUGUGUUUUUUUUUAAAAAUAUAUUCUUGUUAUACAAUAAAAAUGGAUAACCAGGAACAAGAUAUUACAGACCCAUUUCUUGCUUUAGAAACAGCGUUAGCUAGGUUAAAUGAAAAUACUCAUCAUCAUUCACAGAAUACACCUCCACAAAACCAUGAGCAACCUGAUGUGAUCAAUAAUAAUAAUAAUGACCCUUUAGAAAUGCUUAAUUUAGCUCUUGCACGAUUAGCCCCUAGUGAAAGUGCCCCGCAAAAUAACUCUCAGAAUUUA